UUACGGCCACAUCGCAUGGAAACACCGCUUCCUGUACGAUCACCGAAGUUAAGCAACAUCGAGUCUGGUCAGUACGUAGAUGGGUAACCGCUUGGGAAUACCAGAUGCUGUAA